rnacentral:rRNA from 1 species
GCACGUAGUUGGCCGGGCCUUCUUCUGCAGGUACCGUCAAUUUCGUCCCUGCUGAAAGCGGUUUACAACCCGAGGGCCUUCAUCCCGCACGCGGCGUCGCUGCGUCAGGGUUUCCCCCAUUGCGCAAGAUUCCCUACUGCUGCCUCCCGUAGGAGUCUGGGCCGUGUCUCAGUCCCAGUGUGGCUGAUCGUCCUCUCAGACCAGCUAUCCGUCGUAGCCUUGGUGAGCCGUUACCCCACCAACAAGCUGAUAGACCGCGAGCCCAUCCCGGAGCGGAAUCCAUUUCCUCACCAAACCAUGCGAUUCGGUGAGGACAUCCGGUAUUAGCUCGAGUUUCCUCGAGUUAUCCCGGUCUCCGGGGCAGGUUGCUCACGUGUUACGCACCCGUUCGCCACUCUCCACGGGGCCGAAGCCCCGCUUCCCGUUCGACUUGCAUGUAUUAAGCGCGCCGCCAGCGUUCGUC